CAAUAGCGUAUAUUUAAGUUGUUGCAGUUAAAAAGCUCGUAGUUGGAUUUCGGGUGGGACGCAGCGGUCUCGCAUUGCGUUUGUACUGCUGCAGCCCUCCUUCUUGCCGGGGGCGGCCUCUCGGACUUCACUGUCUGGGGGUCAGAAUCGGCGAUGUUACUUUGAGUAAAUUAGAGUGUUCAAAGCAAGCUUACGCUCUGAAUAUAAUAGCAUGGGAUAACACGACAGGACUCUGGCCUAUCGUGUUGGUCUAUAGGACCAGAGUAAUGAUUAAGAGGGACAGUCGGGGGCAUUCGUAUUUCAUUGUCAGAGGUGAAAUUCUUGGAUUUAUGAAAGACGAACUUCUGCGAAAGCAUUUGCCAAGGAUGUUUUCAUUGA
rnacentral:rRNA from 1 species